CGGGGGUGUCCAGAUCCUGGGCUAUGUCCCAGCGCCCUCUGCUCCGGGGCCUGCGCUGUUGGAUUUGUGUUCCUGGUGGUGCAGCCCCCU
rfam:Canis lupus familiaris chromosome 26, whole genome shotgun sequence.